UGAGUGUUAUGAUGAUGGGAAGGUGUGCCUUUCUUAGUCUAGCUCUGGUCUACCACUGGGAAAUUUUUCCCAGUGG
rfam:Streptococcus agalactiae LMG 14747 ctg7180000010151, whole genome shotgun sequence.